rnacentral:rRNA from 1 species
AUGAAGGAUCUUGGUGCUGCUAAGAAAAUUCUAGCUUCUCAUUGUCCUAGUAAUGAUGAAGAGUUCGAGUAUAUGUCAAGAGUUCCAUAUUCUAGUGCUGUUGGUUCUUUAAUGUAUGCCAUGGUGUGUUCUAGGCCCGAUUUGUCAUUUGCAAUGAGUUUGAUACGUUGGAGACGUAUCACUAACCCUGGUAAAGAACAUUGGAAGGCUGUUCAGUGGAUUUUCAGGUACCUUCGUGGAACUUCCAAUGCUUGUUCGAAAUUCGGCAGGACUGGUGAGGGACUAGCUGGCUAUGUGGAUUCAGAUUUUGCUUCCAGCAAUUUGGACAAGAGGAGGUCCCUUACAGGUUAUGUGUUCACUGUUGGUGGUUGUGCGGUAAGUUGGAGGGCAACAUUGCAACCAGUAGUUGCCUAG